ensembl:lncRNA
GGUUAUCUAAUAAAAUCUGUACACAGAGCCCUCUUAUGAAUCAUCUAUGCCUCGAAGGAGUCUCCCCAUGGCGAAGCCUUAAAAAUAACUUCAUCAGACCCUAUGGCUCUUCUAGGAGCUGAUCCACCAGCUGCUCUCCACCAUCACGCCAUCUCUAGAUGCUCCGGGGUCCCAGUGAGUAGGCCCGACGGCCUGACUUUCCUCUGUUCACCGGAGUGGGAUCGAUGAAGCACAUCCUGAACUGCCCAGUCCCAAGGGCCUCGUGGGUUCUCCCGGCACCACGUUCAACGGCCCCGUGGAUGCCUCCCACUCCUCAGAUGCAGAUGCAGAGAACUGUGAUCCUGCUGACCCAACUACCUAAGGAAUACAAGUGAAUGCUGCUGCUGCUCACGGG